GGGCACGACACCGGAGAGGGAGCCUGAGAAACGGCUAUCACAUCCAAGGAUGGCAGCAGGCGCGCAAAUUACCCAAUCCUGACACGGGGAGGUAGUGACAAUAAAUAACAAUACGUGGUUCUUUCAGAUUUCGUAAUUGGAAUGAGUACAAUUUAAAUCUCUUAACGAGGAACAAUUGGAGGGCAAGUCUGGUGCCAGCAGCCGCGGUAAUUUCAGCUCCAAUAGCGUAUAUUAAAGUUGUUGCAGUUAAAAAGCUCGUAGUUGAAUUUCGGGAUUAGCAAAUUGGUCGUGCCACCGGUAUGUACUGGCUUUGCUGAUUCCUCCUUUUUGUAGAGCCGUAAUGCCAUUAAUUUGGUGUUGCGGGGAAACAGGACUGUUACUUUGAAAAAAUUAGAGUGUUUAAAGCAGGCCAACGCCUGAAUACAUUAGCAUGGAAUAAUGAAAUAGGACGAGCGAUCCUAUUUUGUUGGUUUCUAGGAUUGACGUAAUGAUUAAUAGGGAUAGUUGGAGGCAUUAGUAUUCAAUUGUCAGAGGUGAAAUUCUUGGAUUUAUUGAAGACUAACUACUGCGAAAGCAUUUGCCAAGGAUGUUUUCAUUAAUCAAGAAUGAAAGUUAGGGGAUCGAAGACGAUCAGAUACCGUCGUAGUCUUAACCAUAAACUAUGCCGACUAGGGAUCGGAUGAUGU
rnacentral:rRNA from 1 species